rnacentral:rRNA from 1 species
CAGGUUUACCUGUGUGACUGCGUACCUUUUGUAUAAUGGGUCAGCGACUUAUAUUCUGUAGCAAGGUUAACCGAAUAGGGGAGCCGGAGGGAAACCGAGUCUUAAUUGGGCGUUAAGUUGCAGGGUAUAGACCCGAAACCCGGUGAUCUAGCCAUGGGCAGGUUGAAGGUUGGGUAACACUAACUGGAGGACCGAACCGACUAAUGUUGAAAAAUUAGCGGAUGACCUGUGGCUGGGGGUGAAAGGCCAAUCAAACCGGGAGAUAGCUGGUUCUCCCCGAAAGCUAUUUAGGUAGCGCCUCGUGAAUUCAUCUCCGGGGGUAGAGCACUGUUUCGGCUAGGGGGCCAUCCCGGCUUACCAACCCGAUGCAAACUGCGAAUACCGGAGAAUGUUAUCACGGGAGACACACGGCGGGUGCUAACGUCCGUCGUGAAGAGGGAAACAACCCAGACCGCCAGCUAAGGUCCCAAAGUCAUGGUUAAGUGGGAAACGAUGUGGGAAGGCCCAGACAGCCAGGAUGUUGGCUUAGAAGCAGCCAUCAUUUAAAGAAAGCGUAAUAGCUCACUGGUCGAGUCGGCCUGCGCGGAAGAUGUAACGGGGCUAAACCAUGCACCGAAGCUG